rnacentral:rRNA from 1 species
AGUGAACGCUGGCGGUAGGCCUAACACAUGCAAGUCGAACGGCAGCACAGUAAGAGCUUGCUCUUACGGGUGGCGAGUGGCGGACGGGUGAGGAAUACAUCGGAAUCUACUUUUUCGUGGGGGAUAACGUAGGGAAACUUACGCUAAUACCGCAUACUACCUACGGGUGAAAGCAGGGGAUCUUGGGACCUUGCGCGAUUGAUUGAGCCGAUGUCGGAUUAGCUAGUUGGCGGGGUAAGGGCCCACCAAGGCGACGAUCCGUAGCUGGUCUGAGAGGAUGAUCAGCCACACUGGAACUGAGACACGGUCCAGACUCCUACGGGAGGCAGCAGUGGGGAAUAUUGGACAAUGGGCGAAAGCCUGAUCCAGCCAUACCGCGUGGGUGAAGAAGGCCUUCGGGUUGUAAAGCCCUUUUGUUGGGAAAGAAAAGCAGCAGGUUAAUACCCCGCUGUUCUGACGGUACCCAAAGAAUAAGCACCGGCUAACUUCGUG